CUGAGUAAUAAAAAACAUGGCCGAGUUUGAUUGAUUUCAUCUAUUUGUUACUUCACUUUUUGUUUUUAUGUGUUAACUUUUAGUUUCAGUUGUGAGUUUUGAAGCACAACUAUUCCAGAUUGUUCUACUACUAUUUGAACGUGCUAUAAUGGUGUUUCAGUUGCUUGACACUGACAAUAUUGUAUUAAUGAAAAUAGAUCUAUUCAGUGAAUUUUUGUGAUUAAUUUUUAAACCUGCAUAAUGGUAUGCAUAGACUAUAUAUCUCUACAAAUAGCAUGGUGCUUUCUGCUUUAUGGCUUCAUCAGGAAGAUAACUUGGAUGAUCAUUUAGCAAAAACAAAUCAUGACUUCCUGCUUAUUUCAUACUUGAAGAUAAUUUGAGUGAUCAUGUAAGAGAAGAUGCCUUCUUCUGCUUAUGUUCCAAACAUGAAAAUAGGCACAGCUAUAAUUGAGAGUUUAUCCAGACCUUCAUUUAUGUGCUCAGCUAUAUGUGACAUGUUCCAAAUAUACGGAGUGUACUCCUGCAUCAGAUCCAUUAACUAUAUGUUUCUUGUUACAAAUUUCUAUUUACAGAUGGACAAUCAUAAUCCAGGCGCUUCUCUGUCGGGAACCGGGGAACGUUCCCCAUUUACAGACCCGACGAACGCACCAGUUAAUGUUCAUGGGAAUGAAAAUCCCACGUGUCAAAAUCUGCGAGAAAAAAAAAUCAAAGGGUGCUCAAAGUUGGUAUGCCCGACUGUCCGAUGAGAAAAGAGCGGAAUACCACCAGAAGCGACAUACAUUAUACAAAGAAAAGAAGGCGGCAGCGAAGAAGACAGCUAACCACGAGCAAGUGUCGCAAGCACCUGCUUCUUCCUUGAUGGGUGUGCAACGUACCCCUUUGAGCAACAUAACCAACACACUCGAUGAUGGUUCGUUCGUUAACUUCGGGCCUACUGUAUCAAUGGUAAUUAUAUCAACAGUAAUGUCUUUCCUUUCAUCUUGUGUCGUAGGUAUAUGUACGGCUGCAACCUCGGUGAGUACUAACCAUCAGACCGAAGAUAUGAGUGUUCGAUGCAAGAAGCGAACAGUGACAACGGUUCCUGACACGAAAGUGGAGGAUCAUAAUCCAGGCGCAUCUCCGUCCGCAACGGGGGAACGUUCCUCGACGAACACACCAGUUCAUGUUCAUGGGAAUGAAAAUUCAAAGGGUGCUCAAGGUUGGUAUGCCCGACUGUCAGAAGAAGGGCGUUAUCUUGUCUGGUCGUGAAGUUGUUCAUUCUCACUUCAACAUACAACUAACCUCUGAUAAAAAAACUUCUGGAAGAGGGUCAGGGUUGAGAUGAGGCAUGUAUUUGAGUUUUCAAGCUAUAUGGCAAGGCGUGUUUCUAUCCAGAGUUGUUAUGUUUAGUUAAUGGAAUAGAGAUAUACUAGGUAUUUCAGAAGGAAAUAUGCAUACAAUGCUAAAUGUAACUAUUUUUUAUGUCUCACUAUAAGACAGUGUCAGCUGCAUAUACAUUUUGCAGUAUUACAGAGUUCUAUAAUGGGGUCUCUUGUAUGCUCAGUCUUCCUUGAAUUUCUUCUACCAUAAUAGUCUACUGAACAAUAAAGCACAAUAGCUGCUACAUCAUGCUGUGUAUAUUAACAUGUUGCUAUAUACUCUAUGUUGGUGUCAUUUUGA